rnacentral:tRNA from 1 species
GCAGUCAUGGCCGAGUGGUUAAGGCGAUGGACCAGAAAUCCAUUGGGGUCUCCCCGCACAGGUUCGAAUCCUGUCGAUUGCG